UACGUAGGGCGCAAGCGUUGUCCGGAAUUAUUGGGCGUAAAGAGCUCGUAGGCGGCCAACUAAGUCAUACGUGAAAUCCCUCGGCUUAACCGGGGAACUGCGUCUGAUACUGGAUGGCUUGAGUUCGGGAGAGGGAUGCGGAAUUCCAGGUGUAGCGGUGAAAUGCGUAGAUAUCUGGAGGAACACCGGUGGCGAAGGCGGCAUCCUGGACCGAUACUGACGCUGAGGAGCGAAAGCCAGGGGAGCAAACGGG
rnacentral:rRNA from 1 species